rnacentral:tRNA from 1 species
UCCUGGGUGGCUCAGUGGUAAAGAAUCUGCAUGCAGUGCUGGAGACCCAGGUUCAAUCCCUGGGUCGGGAG